GAUGAACGCUGGCGGCGUGCCUAAUACAUGCAAGUCGAGCGAACGGACGAGAAGCUUGCUUCUCUGAUGUUAGCGGCGGACGGGUGAGUAACACGUGGAUAACCUACCUAUAAGACUGGGAUAACUUCGGGAAACCGGAGCUAAUACCGGAUAAUAUUUUGAACCGCAUGGUUCAAAAGUGAAAGACGGUCUUGCUGUCACUUAUAGAUGGAUCCGCGCUGCAUUAGCUAGUUGGUAAGGUAACGGCUUACCAAGGCAACGAUGCAUAGCCGACCUGAGAGGGGGUUCGGCCACUCUGGAACUGAGACACGGUCCAGGCACCUACGGGAGGCAGCAGUAGGGAAUCUUCCGCAAUGGGCGAAAGCCUGACGGAGCAACGCCGCGUGAGUGAUGAAGGGCUUCGGAUCGUAAAACGCUGUUAUUAGGGAAGAACAUAUGUGUAAGUAACUGUGCACAUCUUGACGGUACCGAAUCAGAAAGCCACGGCUAACUACGU
rnacentral:rRNA from 1 species